UACGGGAGGCAGCAGUGGGGAAUAUUGCACAAUGGGCGCAAGCCUGAUGCAGCCAUGCCGCGUGUAUGAAGAGGGCCUUCGGGUUGUAAAGUACUUUCAGUCGUGAGGAAGGUGUUAAGGUUAAUAACCUUAGCAAUUGACGUUAGCGACAGAAGAAGCACCGGCUAACUCCGUGCCAGCAGCCGCGGUAAUACGGAGGGUGCGAGCGUUAAUCGGAAUUACUGGGCGUAAAGGGCACGCAGGCGGUUAAUUAAGUUGGAUGUGAAAUCCCCGGGCUUAACCUGGGAAUGGCAUUCAAGACUGGUUAGCUAGAGUCUUGUAGAGGGGGUAGAAUUCCAUGUGUAGCGGUGAAAUGCGUAGAGAUGUGGAGGAAUACCGGUGGGCGAAGGCGGCCCCCUGGGACAAAGGACUGACGCUCAUGUGCGAAAGCGUGGGGAGCAAACAGGGAUUAGAUACC
rnacentral:rRNA from 1 species